CCUGCGUCUCUCCUGUUAGAUUCCUUUCUCUUCAUCUCUUUGCCUUUUCUGCCUGUCACUCAGCUCUUCACAUAAUCGUUCCUCCAGAAACCAGACCCCUCCCGCACUCACUUGUCCUUCUACUCCUCCCCCAUCACCUAAUUCUGGCUUUUGUCUCUUUCUCUUUAAUCAGAAUGAAGGUUCCCAGCCCGAGCUGUCGACUGGUUGCUGAGUUCCUCCAACAUUCUCUGUGUGUUUGCUUCUGUUUGUUUAUUGAUUAAAAUAAUCAGACUGGUUCAGUGGAAGAGGAAUUUGUGGAAUGGUCAGAGACAGUUUCAUACAGUAGUUUAUUUACCCAGGAACAUGCCAUUUCAGUUGUAAUCUGUGUAAAGAGGUGGUAUUACAGAGAGUUCUUGCGGUGAAGGAUCCUGAAUAUGAGCAGUGGCAGAUGUUUAAGGAGAAGGUUCGUUAGAGCCGACAUUUAUCCCGAUCAGACAGAGGAAUCACAGGGAGCAAACAACAGUCUGUGGUUAAAAGAGUUCAAGAAUUUUGUUGAGAAAUCUGUCCGCGACCAAGGCAGUUCAUACUGGAUUGGAAAAUGCAACUAUGGGAGAGUGGCCUCGAAUAUCGUGUUCCAAAUGAAGGCUGGAGUCUUCGAAUGCAUUGAAUGUGGAUGGUACCCUCACUUUGAACAUUGCAGUGAGGAUAAGCGUUGCUUCAUCUGCGAGAAGUCGGCGCUUCUGUGCUC